AGCCAUCAAAUAGAGAAUUAUAAGUUAUUAGGAAUCAUAUUUUUGCAUUGCAUUUCUUUAAAGAGAUUCAUGGCUUCAUCCACCAUUUGACUCUUACAGAAUCCAUCAAUCAUGAUAGUA
rnacentral:pre_miRNA from 1 species